UUUUUUUUUUUUUUUGUGAUGUGGAUGGAUUUCACCUGAACUGCUCCCUCUUUCAACAGUCCAAACUUGCCUCUGCUUUCUUGGCAGAGGCUUAUGUAUUAUAAAUCAAUGAAGACUUUUUUUUGCUGUUAAAUCCUUGUGUUUUUCUGCUUCUCUUUUCUAUCAUGUUGUGUGCACAAAUGUGGCAUGAGUUAGCUGGGCUAGACUUCUUUAUGCUGAUCACUUGCUUGUGUAUUUUUAAUGAUGCCAAAAGGGGGAAGACAAAUUGAAGCAGGGGCAUCUGAUUAAGGGGGAAGGUAUAGAGUCAGGGGGAACUUGUGAAGUUCCUAGUACUUUAUCUGGUUUAUUGUGUUCUACAAAUGGUUUUCAAUUUUUAAGUUUGUCAUCAUCAAAAAGGGGGAAAUUUAUGGGUUUAAAGUAUCUUAGAUUUAUGUUUUGAUGAUCUAACAAACUUAUUGUUGAGAACCAGAUAAAGGACCUGAUGUACACUUGGUAUAUAUCUCUAUCAACGGACUCAAGCUAAUAUGUGUUGUAUGACUUCAGACAGAAAAUAAUUAACUCAGGGACCUGAUCCCUAUGAGUUUCCCUGAAAGCAGUACGAAGUCAACUCUAAAGUUGGAAAGUGACUGACUGCACUGUACAUGCUACAGUGCAUAAACAGUGCAGCAGUCACUUCCCAUUGGGAAAGGCUUUUUACCAACCAAGUGUUUACAUCAUCCAAGUGAUGUCAUCCAAAAGAUAUUAACAAGAAGCAUUACAACAAAGCAUCACUUGAACACUUGUGAAAUAAUUCAAGCACUCAAGAUCUGAUAAUCAAGCAUUGAAGUCACAAGUGCAUCAAGAACAAAGUACAAUACUACUACGGACCAAUUCCUACAAUAAGUCUUUUGUAUGUCCUUAGUUGAGUUGUAUCUUUGUAUUAGUUUUUCAUUAUAAUUCCUACUUUGCUUAUUUAGAAGCUUUAACUAGGAACCUCCAAAAACCAUAAACCCUUAGAGUUUAUGUCGUGACUAGAGUUAGUCAUGAGUUGAAGUCUUUGUAAUAGGUGUAUUGCAAAGUGACUUGUAAUAGGUGUAUUGCAAAGUGACUUGUAAUAGGUGUAUUACAAGUUAGUGAGGGAUUAAGAGUUUAAUUCCUAGGUAACAAUAGGUUGUAAUCUAAAUAUUGCUCAAGUAGUGAAGUUAAAAUCCUACAAAUUUAGGUCGUGAUUUUUUAUCCCCUUGAGCAGAGAUCUUUCCACGUAAAAUCUCCUGUGUCAUUUACUUACUGGUUCAUUAGCUAUUUCUGUGGUAACUGGUAUAGGACCAGGUCUCUAUACAGUUUGGCGGACUCAUACAUUCUAUCAUUAACAAAUCAACUCAACCCCCAAGCCCAAUUUAUUAAAUCAUCAAACAAAAUGGAACUAUACUCAAAGACUUCAACAGUAAUCAAACCAACAUGAAAACUCAAAAGUUAAAAUCAUCCCAAUGGCUUAAAAAUCACCCAAUAACAGUGAUGGCUCGAAAGGUGAGCUUUCAUGAAGAUUAAGCAGUAAAAUAAAAAAAUUAAAGCCAAGAAAACAUACUCACGAGUAUUAAACUUCAAUUAAAGCAAAGCACAUAACUGCAUGUAAACAAAGAUAUUUGCUACUUAUAGAUUGACAAAUGAGAAUGACUAAGCAUUUAAUCAAAGAGAAACAGUAAACAUGAUUGAAGCAUGCAAAUAAGAGAUUAAACUGAAAUUAAUAACAUGUUCAUCAGUAACAUAACACUUUAUGCUCAAAGAUAUUCAACAAAGACACCCAAAAUAAUGUAUUAAUUGGAAGAGUAAAAGAGUGCAAAAGAUGGACCUUUUAUUGCUGAAAUUUUUCAGUGUUUACAAUAAAGAGGAGCUCCAAAAAUGCAAACCCAAAACGAUCUAUAGACGAGAACUUUGACGAACCCGAAAACCUCGAGUUGAACCUCAUUCUAGUGGUAGUUUCCAACAGCGUUUUGGUUGUGGAUUCGAGGGUCGUUGGCCGAGUUUUCGUUGUUGUUUAAGGGUAGUGUAAGGCUGGUUUUUGAUAGUGUUUCAUCGAUUUUGGGUGCUAGUUUUUAGGACAGAUUUGAGGUCAUUUUUGCAGCUGUUCGCAACUGUUUUUGCUGCACUUUUGGGGUGGGAUUUGAGCGGGUUUUAGGGAGAAAUUUCAGUUGUGUUUAAGUGACGUUUUGGGACUGUUCUGCAGCUUAUUUCAGCCGUGUUUUGGGGAUGUAUUUGGGGUGGUUUUAGGUGACAUUUUUUUGGAGUUUUGCUGGUGUUUCAGCAGUGCGUUGGGGUCAUUUUAAGUAGAGGAAAGCAUCUGGUUUUUGGAGCUUGAAGGUAGCUUAUUUUCCUGCGUUUUGGGAAGGUUUUCGGGGUGAUUUUGAGGUUGUCUUGGAGAUCGUUUUUUGGAGGAGGAAGAAGGUAUUUUCUGGCUAUCUAUGAACGAAGAAAGGGCUGCCCUUUAAGGGUGUUUAAAUAAUAAGAAACAAGAGAGGAAGAGUGAGAGUUGUUAAAGAGGAAGAGUAGAGUGUGAGUUGUUAAAGAGGAAUAGCGAGACUGUAAGUUGUGAGGGAAUAAUUGUGUUGGUGGUAAGAUGUGUGCUAAGUGACGUGAGGGAGUUGGGGGAAAGGGGUAAAGUGAGUGGUGGAAGUGGGAAGUGAGGUAUUGGUGAGAUGAGUGUGAUAUAAUUUUCUUAAGUAAUAACUAUAAAAGGUGAAAUAAGAGCUAAAACAUGUAGAUUAAACUUAAAAUAUGUUUACAUAUUAAAAAGUGGUGAAACAUUCAAGCAUGGUAAAGAAUUAGGUACUCACAACAUGCCCCUCUUUGCUUUGAAACAUGAAGAGUUUUCAGGUAAAGAAAAGAUAAGUGAUAUGACUAAUAUUUGGCCAUACCAUUAUUCAAAAAGGAAGAGAUAAGAUAAAAGAGUGCAACAGAGUCCUGGUUUUGGACAACCUACAUAUCCCAGGUUAUAAAGGAAUCAGGCUGCGUGUAGUUCAAAGAAAAGGAUGGAAUGCUGAGUUGGAGAAUCGAGUGAGGUUCCGGUUUGUAGUCAUGUUAUUACAUCAAAAUCAAAAGAAACUAUACAAUUCUAUCAGCUAUGAGUUACAAGAUUCAUAUCUAUAAGUUUUCUAAAACUUGAUUUUGAGUCUUGACUGGUUCCUCACGCAGACUCUGAUCUGAACCUUGAUGCUUGCUAGCUGCAGGUGCUAGUUUAUUCUUCUACAGCUUCUUCUGAUCAAAACGGGAAAUGUACAACUCAUGACUUCAGUCAUGUCUUAAGCAGUCCAUAUCCUUUCCAUCUGCUUUUGCAUUUGGAUUCACUUCUUUUCCUUUUCUUUUAUUUAUUUUGGAUCCAUACCUCGAGGUAAAACCUACUCAGAUACCAGAACAAUCAAACGAACGAAAUUUUUCUGUCCCAAUUUUCACUAGGAAAAUUUCGUGAGUUGUUAUAACAAAAUUCUAAACUACUUCUUUAUUAAAAGCACCAAAGUGUCGGGAAUGGUGUGCCUUAGGAACAUGGUAAUGAUGUUCUUUUUUGGAAUGGUGUACCCUUCUUGUUAAAAUAAUGUCUUAACUAAGGAUUGGUGUACCUUAUGUUGGGGAAAUGCGACUAGGGAAUGGUGUACCUUGCAUUUAAGCUCAAAUCAACUAGAGAGUAGUGUACCCUAUGUUACUAAAAAAAAAAUGUAACCAGGGGUUGACACCCUCUAUUACUGAGAAGGAAUGUAACCAGGGGCUGAUACCCUAUAUUACUGAAAAGAAAUGUAACUGGGGGUUAGUACCCUGUAUUACUGAUAUGAAAAGUAACCAGGGGUUGACGUCCUGUAUUACUAAAAAGUAAAUGUAACCAGGGGUUGGUGCCCUACAUUACUGAAAAGGAAAUAUAACUAGGGGUUGGUGCCUUGUAUUACUGGUAUGGAAAUAUAACCAGGGGUUGAUACACUAUAUUACUGAAAAAGAAAUGUAAUCAGGGGUUGGUGCCCUGUAUUACUAAAAAGAAAUGCAACUAUGGGUUGGUGCCCUGUAUUACUGAAAAGGAAAUGUAAUCAAGGGUUGGUCCUGUAUUACUGAAAAGGAAAUUUAACCAGGGGUUGGUGCAUGUAUUACUGAAAAGGAAAUGUAACCAGGGGUUGGUGCCCUGUAUUAAUGAAAAGGAAAUAUAACCAGGGGUUGGUGCCAUGUAUUACUGAAAAGAAAAUGUAACCAGGGGUUAGUUCCUUGUAUUACUGAAAAGAAAAUGUAACCAGGGGUUGGUACCCUAUAUUACUAAUAAAAUAUUAAAUGUUUCAGGCGAAAAGGUUCUACCCGGGUUAAACUACGUAAAACAAACCUGGGCGAAGAGUACUUCUAGCCGGAAAUAUGAUCUAAAUCCCCUUAGGCGAAAAGGUUCUACCUGAGUUAAGCUACGAAAAACAACUUGAGCGAAGAGUACUUCUACCCGAAAAUAUGAGUUAGAUCCCCCUAGGCGAAAAGGUUCUACUUGAGUUAAGCUACAUAAAACUACCUGAGCGAAGAGUACUUCUAUCCGGAAAUAUGAGUUGGAUCCCCUUAGGCGAAAAGGUUCUAUCUGGAUUAAGCUACGAAAAGCAAGCUUGGGCGAAAAGUACUUCUACCCGGAACUAUGAGCUGGAUCCCUCUAGGCAAAACGGUUCUACCUAAGUUUAAGCUACGUAAAACAACCUGAGUGAAGAGUACUUCUACCCGGAACUAUGAGCUGGAUCCCCUUAGGUGAAACGGUUCUACCUGAGUUAAGCUACGUAAAACAACCUGAGAAAAACGUUCUUCUACCCGGAACUAUGAGCUGGAUCCCCCUAAGCAAAAAGUUUCUACCCGAGUUAAGCUACAUAAAAGAGCCUGAGCGAAGAGUACUUCUACUUGGAAAUAUGAGCUGGAUCCCCCUAGGCGAAAAGUUUCUACCCGAGUUAAGCUACAUAAAAGAGCCUGAGUGAAGAGUACUUCUACCAGGAAAUAUGAGCUAGAUUCCCCUAGGCGAAAAGGUUCUACCUUGGUUAAGCUACAUAAAACAGCCUGAGCGAAGAGUACUUCUACCCGAAAAUAUGAGCUAAAUGCCCUUAGAAAAAAAAGGUUCUACCUGGGUUAAGCUACAAAAAUGAGAGGUAUGAACAAUAAUGAUGCAUGCUAAAAAAAAGGAAAGUGGAUAUUUUGAGGAAACUUACCUUUGGUGACAUUCGACCUUUAGGAAUCGCCAUUCUGCACUGCUUUGUUCACACUACAAACAAAGAAAAAUUGUGAGUGUUCAAAGUGGUGGUCAGUUUGUGGCGUUGAUGUCCUUACAGAGGUUGGGUGCCUUUUCAAUGUAUCCAUUCGAUUCAACCGAGAGCCAUGUAAUCGGUCUUACCAUCAUUUCUUUGCCUUUAAUUUGACACGAAGUUAUACCGAAAGGGAUUCAAAGAAAAACAACAAUGGAAUGGCGAAUGAGUUUAAAUAAAAGGUGUCCCUUUCGGGGAACAAAAAUUAAAGGACUUAUCUGGGAGUACAUACGGACUUUAAUGAACAUGACAUGCCUUUUGGACUGGAUGCCUGAUCUGUGUAAACCGUCCGACUCUUAGCAAUUCAUCAUAAAUUUUGCCUUAAAACCGAGAAACCUUGCCUAGGACUGUGUUGAUGCCAAUGGCUGUGAAGAUCCUCAUUUCGAUCAGUAGUGCUCUUUGCGAGUUUCCACCAGCUGACCUCUCUUAUUUCUUUUCUCACUAUCGCCUUAUAGUGCCCUUUGCGGGUUUUCACUAACAAGACUCUCUUAUUUUUAUUUUCUCUGCUCGCCAUCGCCCUACGGUGCACGUAAGGAUUUUCACCAAUAAGACUCUUAUUUUAUUUCUCUUAUUUGUUUGUAUCAGAUCCAAGUAACUGUAUCCUCCUAUUCUUGAACAUUCUCGUUGAUUGAUCGGAAGGACUUGAAAAGUAUUUGGGUAAAAAGGAUUUGUAUUGAAUUACAACUUUGGAACCUUUCUGGGGAAACCAUCGCCGAACCAUUGUAACAUCUCCCACAGUUUUAACUUUUUUUUGUUUUUGUUUUUUUGGGGAAUAUGGAUUUUUAUUUUGGUAUGACUGAACCCUAUAGAGAGGCAGCCUAUGUAUCCUUUCGGAAUCAAGUCGAACGUAGUUCAAGUAACUUUGUUUUUGAUUUUCUUUUGUCUUUUUUCUUUUCUUUUCUUUUUGUUUUCUUCUACCAAUUUUUUGUCUUCUUUGUUUUGGUUUUUUUCUCUUUUUUUUUCUUUCUUCAUUCUUUUUUUAGUAAUAUCUUCAGGUUCCAAAGAGGAUAAUCAAAGAAAGGUAACCGACUCAAAGGGUUGGCAAAAAGGUUAAUGGUGUUUGGGUAGCGAGAAUGAAAGUCUUCGUCAUCCCAAUCAGAGAACAUUAAUACUACAUAGAGGGUCAAACAUAAUACCUUUUGGCUGCAUCCGCGUUGACAGUUAUUUCAGGGACAUUUCCUUCUAUGCUUCUCAGGUACAACGCUCUCUUUUGGCAAUGCUCUCGUUAUAAUGUAUGGACAUUUCCACAUUUGAGCCAAUUUUCCUUUAGCUUCUUCAUGAGGUGGGAGAAUACGUCUCAGAAUGAAUUGUCCUAUUUCAAAUUUCUUGGGCCGCACUUUCUUGUUGUAGACACGAGUUAUUAUUUUUUGGUACAACUGCCCGUGGUAAACUGCGAUCGAUCGUUUUUCAUCAAUCAAUGUUAAUUGUUCUAAUCGGUUCUUGACCCAAUCUUUAUCCUCAAUCUCGGCUUCAACAAUGAUCCAAAGAGAGGAAAUCUCAACUUUGUUCCAAUUUUCUAUUUAUUUUCUUACAAGCCUUGUCUUCAAAAUAUUAUGUUUCUUGACUCAUUAUUUCGGGGUCUGACAGCGUUUUAGGAUCUGGGCAUGAAGUCCGCAAGCAUGUCAUGUUAUGUCAUUAAAAUCUGCAUUAAAAGAACUGAAAAGAGAAUAAGAAAGGUGACAAUAUUAAGAAAAUAAACAUUCCUAGACAAUGAAAUAUUAAUUUCAUUUGAUUUUAUUUAUUUUUUAAUUUGUAAAUACUUAAGGGUUUACAUCAGAAAGCAAAGCAGUGAAGUAAAACAUCCGGAUUACACCCUGAAAUAAUCCGAACGCAGAAAAAAUAGCAAGACCGGCUACUGAGACUCCCAUAUGACAGAGAAGUUUUCAGGUUUGGCGGCCGUUUUUAGGUUUCUUUUCUACCGCGACAAUGACUACUAUGGAUUUAAAUGCUGAAUCAUCAAUUCUUCAACUGCCCUUUUGAGGUUCUGUAUCAUAUCCCACUGCUCCAAAGUGGUAUUUACAUCUAGCAUCAGCUUGGUGCGAGGGGGACUCGGGGUUUGGCCGGUUCGGGGACACUGGCUGCAACAGACCUAGCCCGAUUAGCUUUUGAAAUAAACUUGAAUAUGAUUCAGCAAUAUGGGUGAACUGAUUCCUUCUGAGGGGCUCUCUUGGGCGAAGAUUGUAUUGGGGAACAUUGGUUUGGGGAUUAUAUGGAGUUUGGUAGGGACAUGCAUUUUUGGAGGUGGAGCUCAAUUUUGUGUAUAAUGUUGUGGUCGCGUGUAAGGUUGCGCGUUCAUCACCGCAUAUGGAGGCGGUGCCACAUCAUUAGCAGCAUCUUGAUGGGGAUAAUAGUGUUGUGGGACCUUAGGAAGCAUAUAUGAUUGGUUGAAUGACCUGUGGGCCCCCUUCGAGCUCGAAGCCAUCAAUGGCUCCCUCUUCCCUCCUGAUUCUGUUCUUCAAACCCCUCGAACUGUUCUGAACGGUUUGUGAUGUGGACUUAAAGGCAACAUGACUCAAGAUUCGGCCAAUUUUUAAAUCAUUUUCGACCAUCUCCCCAAUUUUGAUAGCCUCGGUGAAUGGAUUACUCAUAGUGGACAUCAUGUUCUGGAAGUAUUCCGCCUCUUGGGCCUGUAGGAAGACCGUAACCAUUUCUGCUUCGUCCAUUGGAGGCUUUACCCUGGUGGCUUGCUCGCGCCAUUUGACAGCAUAUCCACAUAAGCUUUCCGCGAUUUUCUUUUUCAAAUUGGACAAAAAGUUUUUUUUUUCCGCUCUUUGUUUUUCUUUGUUAUUUUUUUCACUCCUUUCUUUCUUUUUCUUUAUUCUCUUUUUUUUUCACUCGGUUUAUUUAAUGUCUAUGAUCGAAUCCGAUGGGGAUUGCCUACGUAUCAUGACGCCACAUGAAUCAGAUCAUUACGUAGUUCAGGAAUACCGGGAACAAAGUAUAUAAGCUAGAUUUAUUAUUAUUAUUAUUAUUAUUAUUAUUAUUAUUAUUAUUAUUAUUAUUAUUAUUAUUAUUAUUAUUAUUAUUAUUAUUAUUAUUAUUAUUAUUAUUUCUUUGGGAAUUUUUGAAAGAAAAUACUUCUAAAGAAAAAUAAAAUAUUUUUCGGAUUUUGAUUUAUUUUGGGAAAUUUUGAAAGAAAGAUUACUAAAGAAGAAAGAAAAUAUUUUUCGGAUUUUGAUUUAUAUUUUGUUUUUGAAAUUUUUAGAAGAAAGAUUUCUAAAGAAGAGGGGAAAUAUUUUGGAUUUUGAUUUGAAUUUUUUUUUUUUAAUGAAAGACUUCGGAAAAGAAGGAAAAUAUUUUUGGAUUUAAUUUUUUUUUUUUGGGGGGGGGGGGGGAUUUUCUAAGGAAAGGAUUCUAAAGAGUGAAUUAAUGAAAAGGAAAAUAUUUUUGGAUUUUUUUUGAAAAUUGGGGCCGAAACCGAUGAGGUUUGCCUGCGUAUCUCACAUCCAGUGAGAAUGAGACAUGCGUAGUUCGGUCAAAUUGACUAUUUUUCUCCUUUUUGCUUUUUAUGAAAAUUAAUCUUUACGCCAGACCACUACAAAAUUUUAGUAAAAAGGGAUUAUUUGUACCAAACUAGGAGAGUGAUUUUUUUUAAUUCCGCUAAACUAAAUUUCUAAAGCCGGUCAACAAUGUAAACAAGCCUUCCAAAUGAUGUAGCAGCUAGCACAUAAGUGGACAUGAUGGUCUCAAAGAGGAUACCUGUCUUAUACGGACUCGGCCCCUUUGCUGAGUUUUGCUAAGUCAAAUGCUCAUGAUGCAAAUAAAGCGAACCUACUAGAAAUAUCCGGCAUGAGGUUUGUUCUUCUAGAUUUAAAAUCCUAGUGGAAAAAGUAUCUAGACUGGCUUACUCGAGCGGACAACUCGAGUCGAGGAGGGUCAGCGUACCGAUAGCAUUGCUUUCCGGCUUAGCUGAUGGUGCUCCUCGCUUAAAAUAUGUGUGACUAAAAAUCCUUCAUCGGGUGGAAAGCACCUCGGUUGUCUCAAAGAAAGCGGGUUAUGUCAAACAAAUGCCCAAUUUAAAUUUCAAGAAGGCUCAGAGAGGGUGCGUGAGAAGACAAUUUAUAAUGUACAGUUUAAUAAUAUCAAAGCGGUAAAAAGCAGACAAGUAGCAUAUUAGGCCAAACAAAUCACAGUAUAUACAAAAUUAAUAAAGCCAAAUAAAAGUCAACAUGUACAAGCUCGAAUUUUGAUUUUCCCCAGCAGAGUCGCCAGAGCUGUCACACCUCUUUUUUACCCUAAAAAGAUAUGUGUGUUUAUGGAUUGUUGUGGGUUAAAGAGUUUUUCUAAUUAAAGUGACAACUUUUUGAUAGGGAUUAUUUUAUUUGCAGAGUCGCCACUUGAAAUUGAGUUUUGGUGUUCCAAGUCACCUUAUUGAAUUCCUAAUCAAAAGAAAAUUGACUAUACUUAUUAUUGGUCUACGAAAAUAAAUUCUGGGUAAGGAAUUCCGUUGACCGGAGAGAAGGUGUAAGGCAUUCCCCGAGUCCCGUGGUUCUAGCACGGUCGCUUUAUUGACUAUAUUUGGCUUAUAUUAUUUGAUUAUUACAUGUUUUAGACCUAUUUUGUGUUUUUAUCUUUUACCGCUUUUAAUUGCUUGUUGUUUAUAAUUAUGAAAUUAUCUUGAAACGAAUCAUGCAUAAGUGUAUUUGUUUUAUUUGGUAUGUCAAAGUCAUGUCACGCGUACGUGUACACGACUAAUAACACUUUAUUAAUUUACGAUUGUUUUACACAAAGUUGCGCGAACGCAUACCUUGGUUUUAAUUUUGAAAAUCAUAAUUAUAUCACGGGAACGCAUACAUAAUCACGAUAAUUGAUUAAAGGCGUGCCUAAAGCAUUAUACGAAUUAAGAAUUAUUUUUUCUAAACUAGUUUUGAGAUUAUUGCAAGGUCAUGAAUUAUGGAAUAUAGAAUUAUUUGAUUAACAAAGUAUUUUCGGAGAGAUUGGAUUGACUUAUGAUUUGUAGAAAGUGGCCAAAUUAUAUUGUUCUUGACUAGUAGACUAUUGCAUUAAUUAAAGAAAAUGGCAUCUUGUGCAAUUACAAAAAUUGGGCCAGCCUCAAUUAAUUGAUCUCGGCAUAAACAAAUUAACUGGCCCAUUUAUUUCUGAAAAAGUCUGCAUCUUAACAGACCAACUCAACCCCCAAGCCCAAUUUAUUAAAUCAUCAAACAAAAUGAAACUAUAAGACUUCAACAGUAAUCAAACCAACAUGAAAACUCAAAAGUUAAAAUCAUCGCAAUGGCUUAAAACUCACCCAAUAAUAGUGAUGACUCGAAAGGUGAGCUUUCAUGAAGAUUAAGCAGUAAAAUAAAAAAAAUCAAAGCCAAGAAAAUAUACUCACGAGUAUUAAACUCCAAUUAAAGCAAAGCACAUAACGGCAUGUAAACAAGGAUAUUCGCUACUUAUAGAUUGACAAAUGAGAAUGACUAAGCAUUUAAUCAAGGGAAAAGGCCCAAAAAUGACCUUGUGGUAUUCGAAAUGGAUCAAUUAUAACCUCCGUUUAACUUGAGUCCAAAAAUGACCUUGCCGUUGUAGAAUGAGUCUAAUAAUGCCCUUGUGUUAUUCGAAAUGGAUCAAUUAUAACCCUCAUUUAAAUUUGAGCUCACCAAUGACCCUGCCAUUAAAGAAUAGAUCUAAUACUGCUAUUUCUCUCAGUUAGUAAUGAUUAGGGGUGUAAAAUAGAUAUUUAAAAACCGACAGAACCGUGUCGAACCAAUUUUUAUGUAUCUUUUAAUAAAACCGUAGGUUUUUANNNNNNNNNNNNNNNNNNNNNNNNNAAAUAUAUCAAACCUAUUAUUAGACUCAGUAUAAAUAUAUGUUUUACAUGUAAAUUUAUUCGGUACAGUUCGAUAUUAAGUUUAAAAAUGAUAAUUGGUCUAAUAUUUAUAAAGAAUGGGUCGAAUAAGUUUAAAAUUUGAGCCCACUAAUGACCAUGCCGUUAAAGAAUGAGUCUAAUAGUUAUAUUUGUAAAUAAUAAUGUAUUAAUAUAAAUAAUAUAUAAAUUUUAAUACAUUAUUAUUUUUAAACUUAAUAUAUAAAUAUAUGUUUCAAAUGUAAAUUUAUUCGGUACGGUUCGAUAUUUUUUCGAUUUAUUUUUAUAAAAUAAAAAAUCUACCCUAAUUAUCCGUACAGUUAUAGAUUUAUAUAAAAACCUACGGUUUAUUAAAAAAAACCUAAAAAUUGGUUUGACACGGUUCUGUCGGUUUUUAAAUAUCCAUUUUACAUCCCUAAUCAUUACUAACUGAGAGAAAUAGCAGUAUUAGACCCAUUCUUUAAUGGCGGGGUCAUUGGUGAGCUCAAAUUUAAACGAGGGUUAUAAUUGAUCCAUUUCGAAUAACACAAGGGCAUUAUUAGACCCAUUCUAUAACGGCAAGGUCAUUUUUGGACUCAAGUGUAAACGAAGGUUAUAUUGAUCCAUUUCAAAUACCACAAGGUCAUUUUUGGGCCUUUUCCCUUUAAUCAAAGAGAAACAAUAAAUAUGAUGGAAGCAUGCAAACAAAAGAUUAAACUAAAAUUAAUAAUAUGCUCAUCAAUAACAUAACACUUCAUGCUCAAAGAUAUUCAGCAAAGACACCCAAAACAGUGUAUUUUUUGGAAGAGUAAAAAAGUGCAAAAGAUGGACCUUUUAUUGCUGAAAUUUUUCAGCGUUUACAAUAAAGAGGAGCUCCAAAAAUACAAACCCAAAAUGAUCUAAAGACGAGAACUUUGCCAAACCCGAAAACCUCGAGUUGAACCUUAUUCUAGUAGUAGUUUCUAACAACGUUUUGGUUGUGGAUUCGAGGGUCGUUGGCCGAGUUUUCGUUGUUGUUUAAGGGUGGUGUAAGGCUAGUUUUUGACAGUGUUUCAUCGGUUUUGGGUGCUGGUUUUUGGGAAAAAUUCGAGGUCGUUUUUGUAGCUGUUCGCAACUGUUUUUGCUGCACUUUUGGGGUGGGAUUUGAGCGGGUUUUAGGGAGCAAUUUCAGUUGUGUUUUAGUGAUGUUUUGGGACCGUUCUGCAGCUUGUUUCAGCCGCGUUUGGGGGACGUUUUUGGGGUGGUUUUGGGUGACGUUUUGCUGGAGUUUUGCCAGUGUUUCAGCAGUGCGUCGGGGUCAUUUUAAGUGGAGGAAAGCAACUGGUUUUUGGAGCUUGAAGGUGGCUGAUUUUGCUGCGUUUUGGGAAGGUUUUCGGGGUGAUUUUGAGGCUGUCUUGAAGGUCAUUUUUUGGAGGAGGAAGAAGGUGUUUUCUGGCUAUCUAUGGACAAAGAAAGGGCUUCCCUUUAAGGGUGUUUAAAUAAUAAGAAAUAAUAGAGGAAGAGUGGGAGUGAGAGUUGUUAAAGAGGAAGGGUGGGAAUAUGAGUUGUUAAAGAGAAAAAAAUGAGAAUGUGAGUUGUUUCUCGAACCGUUGCUCAUGGGCCUCUGCGAACGCUAUUCUCGGGGUCAGUUGGCAGGUGGGCAUCGAUAGCAACCUGUGAGUUGGCGUUGAUUGGAUCGGCAGCUGGGACUCCGUUGGGAUCAACAGGGGGUACCUUAUUGCUAGGCUCCAAGUUGUUGUUUUCGCCAUGAUGGCCAGAUUCAGCCUCAACGUUCAAGUGAGCAGACUGAGAGUUUGACAUUUUUAAGCAAACCUAAAAUUGGAAACUUAAAGAACAAGCGUAAAAUAGAGAGUGUUAUAGAAAUUCAUAUUAAAUUACCACUACUAUCCUUAGCCCUACGGUGGGCGCCAAACUGUUUACUCUUAAAAAUGGAUAAUAAUUGAAUUUAUAUGCGAUUUUUAGGCUAUGUGGACUGAUUCAAUACGAGUGAUUAACAACGUUAGAUGAGCAAAUUAGAGAUAGAAUAAACAACCAAACCAGUAUUAGUAUUGAGUCCGGGCUCGGUUAUGAGCUUAACAAUUAGCCUGCCUUCAGUUCGGAGCCAAACGCUUAUGAAGAACUAUGAGCAUAAAUUAAAGCUUUUUAUCACUUUUAGAAGUAAAGAAAACAAAUGUAUAUUGCUCUGGUAUGCGUGUUACCCUGCCUCUCGAAUAAAAAUUAUCUCCUUUACAUAGUAGAAGAGUUUCAUCCUAAGUACAACUCUAAGAAAGGUAAAAAUCUUCUUUUUCGUUAAUCAUUGAUCCAUUGUCGACAUGGGCCAAUAUUCACACCAUGAUAUACGGUCGGGCGCGGAUAUCACAGCCCUUCGUUAGUCGAGUACAACCAUUUGGUUAUGCCUUUCGAGGUUUCGGAGCUCGAACCGGAUCCGGGUGCAUGGUCUCGAUGGCUCUGAGGGCAGGUGUUUUGUUCAGGCCUUGAUACGAGAGGCUACUAGCUUCGAAUUUGAUUCCUUGUAGUUACGUCCUUGCUUUGUUUGCCCCAUCGGGAAAUCGGGGUGCUCAUUAGCCCCGGUUUUACCCGUAUACAGAUAGUCCCCUCGUUUCUUAGAGAGUAGGUUCGACGAAACAAUGAAAAACGAUAGAUGUUCUCCGGUUCCCUCCUCCGUACACUACAACAGAAACGACGAAGAAGUCGGAAUGUCCCAUCAGUCGCAUCGUUAUGACUUUGGACACGUGUCAACUAUCGGCUGGUUGCCUCCGAAUGUGAAGCGUCGCAAACUUCCCCUAUAAAAUCUUUUGUCCCCUGUUCCUUUUUCACUUUCCGAUCAAUCUUCUACCUUUGAAUUCUCUAGCUAUCACCAACUUCCUUCAAACCUUUAUAUCUUUAUCCUUGAUCUUCACAUUCUCAUAGUUAGUCUUAGGUUCUUACCCAGAUUUUCUUCAAAUCUUCAUAAUCUAUUCUUCAGCCUUCAAACCUUCGUAUUCUUUCUUUAAAUUUUCAAACUUUUCCAGAUAACAAUGGCUAAAACAUCUAAAUUAAUUCCUUAACAGGCUGCCUUUUCAUCUUCCCAACCGGUCGUCGGUACCGAAGCGGCUGCUCCCGAAAUAGUUGUCCUCGACAUGGCCGCUCUCGAAGUGGCUACCACCAAACCGACCCCCGACCCCCUUGAAAAUGUUUAUUCCCAGGGGAUGUUCAAUUGCGGAUGACUUCAAGAUCGAGAAGGCCUCGUCCAAACAAGACCGAGGUGAAUGAGCAUCGAGAUAUAUAUGAUCUGCCACCGAAGAUACUCUCCCUAAUAUCCGAGAGGACUGUAAAUGGGGAUAUAAAGACGUGGUAGUCCCCGAGCCUGAAGACGAUAUCACUACCCAUGUGAAGGGGUAUUUAAGUGUUUACACUUAUCCCUUCACGUUGGGUCCGGUUACCCAGUCGUUUUGGAUUUUUGCAAAAGAUACGAGGUGUGCCUGGGCCAAAUCCACCCAUCUCUCUAGAGGAUCGUGAUCCUCCUUCGUUAUUUUGUGAACAAAAUCGAGUCUCCUCGGUUCACCCUCGACUACCUACUUCAUCUAUACAGUCCCCAAAUUUUUCGAGGAAGACUGAUCAAGCUCGCUCGUCGGGCCAGCAAGGCUCCCUUCUCGAGUAUUGACGAAGAUCGAGACUGUGGUUGGCAGGGAUGCUUCAUUCGGGUGAAGAUCGAAGACUUGAUCCCUCCCGAGUUCAUGCCAUUCCCCGAGAAGUGGAAUGCAUCUCGUAAGUGUAGCCUUUCCUUAAAUGUCAAUUUUACUUCAUUUCCUUUCUCACCAUUCGUAUUUGUGGUUGUACAGCUGUUGCCUGGGUUCCAAAUAUUGUCCCCCGGCUCAAGGAGUGGAUCUAAGGCAUCUAUAAGCAGAUGUCAUACUUAGAGCGCUCAUGGAGAAAGCUUUCGAAGGGCCGAUUGGAGGCCCGUUCUCAUGGUAAGGUUCUCAUUCAAAUAGUUAUUACCGCGCUCUUAACUCACAUCAUACUAACCUUUAUUCUUUCUUUUAUAGGUUUGCCUAGGACCACCGAAUUUAGGCCUUUGGAAGGGGACGAGGACAUGUACUUAUCCAUUGAUCCCUCCAUUACGAUACAGCCCGGGGCUGUCUCGGGGAAAAGAAGAAGAAGAAGAAGAAGAAGAAGAAAAGAAAGGCUUUGGGCUCCCCGAGCUACUAGAUGAAGCCAAAGAAAAGAGUGGCUCGUAAGCCCAAGAAAAGCUCUAGCUCUGGGGUACUAGAUUCCGAUUUGCUCUUUCGGCUCAGGGAUGAGUCUGAAGCAGAUGAUAUUCUUAUUGCCCACGGAUCGACCCUCACCAGGGAGAAGGCCACAGCUAAGGGGACGGGCCGUGAGACGAACCUCCCUCCGACUCAAGAGGUCGAGAUGGAGACGGGGGUUGAGACCUUCCGAGAAGUCAGUUCUGCACUAAAGGAAGCAACCAUUAUAAUAGAAAUCAUGGGAAUGCCCUCUUACACUGAGUCCAUACUUAAGGAGGUCCAAGUAGGAAAAAGAAGUCAGGUGAGGGAGUCUAAGGUGCGGACGACCCCUUUCAUUCCUUUUUCGAUAGUGUGGACUCGUCCACUUUGGAAGGUUUUUUCCGGUUGGGCGACCUGGAAAUCCCGAAGAAGGAUGAAUCUUCAGAAGCUGGUGGGCCGAGUUCGAGCCCAAAGUUGGUUAAUUAGUUUCCCGCUCCGAGUGUGGACCCCGGUCGCAAGAGAGUGGUUACUCUUACUGUCCUGUAGGAUGCCCGGGUUCUAUCUGCUCCCGUAGGCGUAGCUAGCUACCUCCGAUGCCUGGUGAUCGAGGAGGACCAGACAAAAAUGAACGAGGUGGACGUGUCGUGUCUUUUUAAUGAGGCACAACAGGCGCUGAACCGGGUAAGACAUCAUUUCAUCUUUUUGAAUUUUACUUAGGUUUUGAUAUCUCUCACGACUUUCAUUGUUUUGUAGGCCUCGGUACUCCAUCAUGAGAACUUCCUCUGGUACCGUGUCGAGGUCAAUCGGUUCGAUCUCGAGCUCAAGGAGCAGGCUCGAAAAAGGGAUAUGUACAAGAUCCUCAGCGAGCAACAAGACCGGGCCAUCAAGGACCUUCAGGUCGAGCUAGAUAGGGCUUAGAAGGAAGCUUAAACCCUGAGGCGGGAACAUGCUGACCUGGUCGAAAAGGUAAAAUUUUUUGAAGUUUGUAACGAAGAACUAGUCAUGGGGACUAACGACAAGCAGGUCCAGCAGAAGAUCAUGAUCGACCAACUCUGGGUUGAAAUGAACGAGGUCCAAGCCAUGGCUGAUGGGUGGAAAAGCAAAAUGGACCUGCUCUCUUUCGAGAAAGAAAUCGCCCAGGAAAAGCUGGCAUCGGUAGAGGUUCAACUUCGAGUGGCGAAGGAGAAAGUCGACAAGCGGUCCCAGCUUAAUGACGAUCUCCGAGCACAACUGAGCUCGGCUCUAGCAUAGCGGGAUGCCCUCGGUAAAGAAUAAGAAGCAACAAAGUCCAAGUUGGACACAACCUCUGUCAAUGCCGAUGAGAUGGUGGCCCAGUACAAGGCCGAUGUCGAAGCAGUUGAGGCUCGCCUGAAUACCAAUGCCGAAUAUAUGAGGUGGUUGUCUCGAAGGGAGACCUUAUAAGAUAUCCAUGCUCGAGGCUUCGACCUAUCGGCCGAGAUCGAGGAAGCAAAGAAGCUUGAGGCCGAGGCGAAGAAACUUUCUGAGCCUGAAGGUGCAGAAGGCUCCGAGGGUUCUGAGGGAUCCGAAGGCUCUAACGGUUCUGACAACGAACCGGGCCCUGGUGAAGAUCAGGCAUGAAUGCCUUAGAACCUUUUUAGUUUUUGUCUAUUUUUCAUUUAUUUUGAGGCUGCUUUUGUUAGGCCUUUGUAAAUACAUUCCGAAAUAUAUAAAAUUUCUCUUUCUCGCAAUUUCGAGUCUCUACUUUUUUAGCAUUUCUUCAUAAUUUCUGUUCUUGCAAAUAUUUCUAAUGCCUUAGCAUAGAAUCAAAUGUAGUAAUAAGUCGCUCAUUUUUCGGAGGUCCGAACAGAGCCUGACUUCGAUACAACUUUAUUUGCUCGAGGCUUUGAAAAAUUGGAGUGAACGGAAGUUUUCCCAAGAUGCUUAAGUGAUUUUAGAUGAUGCUUUUGCCGAGGGUAACCUUUUAGCAGGUUUUGAAUUUUUAUGAAGGCUUUAUAUUUUGAUUACGAGCUUCGGACGUCUCCGAGCUAUUUUUUAGGGUGGCUAUGGCCUUUUGUAUUUAGGCACUACCUAAUAGGUUUUGUGCCUCCGGGAUUUGGUAGCCCGAGUUGCCCGAGCUUCUUUCGGACGACAGUCCCCGAGUAGGGGUAGCCUUUGGGCUUGAUAGUCCCCGGAUAGGGGUAGCCCUUGGUCUCGAUAGUCCCCGAAUAGGGUUAGGAUCUAUGUUUUAAGAGGCAAAAAUGUGUGAUAGCAAGGUGGAAACCUUCUUUCAUUUCUGUGUGUAAAGUACAUGAACGAAAGCGUGCAAAAGCUUGUAUCACAGCUAAGGUGGCCUAUACGGGCACGGUUUACUUGACCGUUUGGACCUUACAAUGAAUCCUAACCACCAAGCCUAAGCUAUUCAAGUACAAAGUUUCCUUUCGUCCUUGCUAAGAACCUUAACCCGAGGGUGAUGGCCCCCAGUAUUCGAGGUCGAUCUUGAGAGGACUCAGAUACUGUUGAUGUGCCCAUUGACUCCGAUCUAAGAUCGGCCUUCAAAUCUAAGUUAGCACGGUUUACUAUUGCCUCAUUAAAAACCUUAUCGAAAAACCCAUUUGAGACAAAACCGGUUCAAAGGAAAAAAAGUGCAACGCGUGCUUUCAGACCUAAUAGUCACAUUCUCCCUUGGCCGUUGCCUGUAAGUAUUAGUCCGAUUCAUAAUAUUAUAAAAGAGUAAAUAAGAUCAUACCUUAGAAGUAGUAUCGCUUUAAGUGCGUCAUGUUCCAGUUGUUCGAUAGCUGCGCACUGUUUCCUGCUUCGAGUUUGUACGAGCCUUUGCCGGUAGUUCUGAUGAUUCGAUAUAGUCCUUCCAAAUUUAGCCCCAGCUUUCCCUCGUUCGGGUUCCGGGUAUGCAGUGUUACUUUUCUUAACACUAAGUCCCCGAUCUUGAAGUGUUGGAGGUUGGCCCUUCGGUUGUAAUAUCUUUCUAUCCAUUGUUUCUGGGCGGCCAAUCGGACUAUGGCGGCCUCACGCCUUUCAUCCAAUAGUUCCAUGAUCGUGCUCAUGGCCUCACCAUUCGAUUCCUCGGUCGCAUAUCAGAACCUAAGGCUCGGUUCUCCUACUUCAACUGGUAUUAAUGCUUUGGCACCGUAGACCAAUGAAAGCGGGGUGGCCCUGGUAGUAGACUUUGAAGUUGUACGGUAUGCCCACAAGACCUCGGGCAAUAUUACUUUCCAUUUCCCUUUGGCAUCAGUCAACCUCUUUUUUAGGUUUUGAAGUAUAGUCUUGUUUGUUGAUUAUGCUUGUCCGUUCCCACUAGGGUGAUAGGGUGUCGAUAGUAUCUUUUUAACCUUAUGGUCUUCGAAAAACUUGUUUACCUUGCUGCCGAUGAAUUACUUCCCAUUAUCACACACGAUCUCGGCCGGUAUGCCGAACCGGCACAUUAUGUGGUUCCAAAUGAAGUCAAUGACUUCUUUUCCCCGGACUUUUCGAACGCCUGAACUUCGACCCAUUUAGAAAAAUAAUCGGUCAUAAACAGUAUGAAUUGAGCCUUACCAGGUGCCCAUGGCAGGGGACCGACGAUUUCCAUUCCUCAAUUCAUGAACGGCCAUGGGGACAAGACCGAAUGGAGUAGCUCUCCGGGUUGAUGAAUCAUCGGUGCGUGUCUUUGACAGCUGUCACAUCUUCAUACAAAGUCCUUUACAUCUUUCUCCAUGUCGAUCCAGUAAUAGCCGGCCCUGAUUACCUUCCGAACCAAAGAUUCCGCCUCUGAAUGGUUUCCGCAGGUACCUUCGUGAACUUAUCUCAAGACAUAUUCGGUAUCUUCCAGCCCCAAGCAUAUGGCGAGCGGGCCAUCGACUGUUCUUCUAAACAAAGUCCCUUCGGACAGGCUGAACUUGGCCGCCUUCGUGCACAGAGCUCUUGAUUCUUUAGGAUCCGAGGGCAACUUCCCAGUCUUCAAAUAGUCUAUGUAUAUAUUCCUCCAAUCCCAAGUUAAACUUGUUGAGUUUAUUUCGGCAUGACCUUCUUCUACUACGGAUUUCAUGAGUUGUACGACUGUUCCUGAGCCGAAUUCAUCAUUACCAACUGAGGACCCCAAGUUAGCCAGAGCAUCGGCCUUACUAUUUUGAUCUCGGGGCACAUGAUGUAGGGUCCAUUCCUUGAAUUGAUGCAGUGUUACCUGCAAUUUAUCUAAAUACAUCUGCAUCCGUUCCUCUUUUACUUCAAACGUUCCAUUCAUUUGAUUUACCACAAGGAGGGAAUUGCACUUAGCUUCGACCACCUCGGCCCUAAGACUUUUAGCCAAUUCGAGACCUGCAAUCACGGCCUCAUUGUUAGUCAAUUUCACAGUUCUAAUAGACUGCCUAACUACGUUACCCGUAGGCGGCUUUAACACGAUGCCGAGUCCGAACCCCUUUGCAUUCGAAGCACCGUCCGUAAAGAGGGUCCAGAUUCCCGAGAAAGUCCCCGAGGUUAACAACAAUUCCUUUACGACAUCGGGUAUUAAGGCCGGCAUAAAUUUGGCCACAAAGUCUGCCAAAAUUUGUGAUUUGAUGGCGGUUCGGGGUCAGUAUUUGAUAUCGUACCCGCUAAUUUCUACGGCCCAUUUGACCAACCGGACCAAGAGCUCGGGUUUGUGCAUAAUGUUCCUUAGUUGAUAAGAGGUUACGACACAUAUGGGGAGGCAUUUAAAGUACGGUUUCAACUUUCUGAAGGCGCUUAGCAAAGCGAGCACCAAUUUUUCCAGGUGAGGAUACCUCGUUUCGGCCUCGCCUAAGUUAUAAAAAUAUAGUAAAUAGGAAAUUGCGUACCUUCCUCUUCUUGGACUAAGAAUCCACUUAGCGCCACCUCGAAUACCGCCAUGUAAAGGUACAGCUACUCAUCCACCUUCGGAUUAUGGAGCAGGGGUGGACUCGAAAGGUACCGUUUGAGUUCUUCCAAAGCCUGUUGGCACUCUGGAGUCCAAGAAAAGUUAUUCCUUUUCUUCAAUAGAGAGAAGAACUGAUUGCUUUUGUUUGAGGAUCUCGAUAUGAAUCGGCCCAAGGCAGCGAUGUGCCCGGUUAGUCUCUGAACGGCCUUGACACUAUCCACCACGAUGAUGUCUUCUAUAACUUUGAUUUUAUCGGGAUUGAUAUCGAUCCCUCAGUUGGACACCAUGAACCCAAGGAAUUUUCUGGAUCCGACCCCGAAUGCGCAUUUCUCGGGAUUCAGCUUUAUAUUGCAUCUCUUUAAUAUGUCAAAGGUUUCCUGCAAAUAUUUCAAAUAGUCCUCUGCUCGCAGAGAUUUGACUAACAUGUCAUCAAUAUAAACUUUCAUUGAUUUUCCUAUUUGUUCUUCGAACAUCUGAUUUACUAGGCAUUGAUUAGUGGCACCGGCGUUCUUUAGUCCGUGCGGCAUUACAUUAUAAUAAUAGGUGCCGAAUUUAGUGAAAAAAUAAGUUUUUUCUUGAUCGCCUGGGUCCAUCCGAAUUUGGUUGUACCCGAAAUAGGCAUCGAGAAAGCUGAGUAUCUCGUGCUCUUUGUAAUCUACGCACAUUCUUAACUUAUUUCCCUUUUUAUGAACUACCACAACAUUAGCUAACCAGUCCGGGUAUUUAACUUUUCGGAUGGAACCUAUUUUAAGGAGUUUAGAUACCUCGUCUUUGAUGAAGGCAUGCUUGACUUCGGACUGAGGCCUCCUCUUCUGUUUAACCGGGUGGAACUUCGGAUCUAAACUCAGUUUGUGAGUGGCUAUCUCCAGCGGGAUCCCUGCCAUAUCAAGAUGGGUCCAUGCAAAACAAGAUAUGUUAGUUUUAAGGAAACUAAUGAUUUCUUUCUUGAGCUCGGGGGUCAACCCCAUGCCCAGGUAUACCUUUUGAUCCGGCAGGUGUUCGGUCAAUAUAGUCUGCUCCAGUUCUUCGACCGUAGAUUUGGUGGCAUUGGUAUCAUCAGGAGCUAUGAAUGAUCUAGGAACUCCGUAAUCAUCUUCCUUAUCGGCUUCUCGUCCCUUCGGUCCGACCGGGACCGGCAUCCGUGCUUGCUAUAUAACUUCGGCCUUUCUGGCUGGUUCCCCAUUUUUUUACGCCGAAACGGCGGGUAUCGGGAGUACUUCAUCGACUGCGAACAUUUCCUUUACGGUCGGCUGCUCUCCGUACAUUAUCUUGAUCCCUCCCGAUUUAGGGAACUUUAAUGCCUGGUGCAAGGUCGAAGGUACCUCCCUCAUGUUGUGAACCUAUGGCCUUCCGAAUAGAGCAUUAUAUCUCAUAUCAUUUUCGAUCACAUAGAAUUUUGUUCCGUGAAUGGUCCCGGCGGUGUUCACCGGUAGGGUUAUCUCCCCUUUAGUAGUUUCACAUGUCAUGUUAAAUUCGUUCAACACCCGGACUGCUGGCACUAUUUGGUCUUGUAGACCCAACUACUCUACGACCCUCGAUCUGAUGAUGUUGGACGAGCUACAUGGAUCAAUCAACACAUGUUUAACUCGAGAUUUAUUUAUAAGUACAGAUAUUACUAGUGCAUAAUUAUGCGGUUGUACGAUGCCUUCGGCUCCUCAUCGUUGAACGAGAUGGUUCCCUCGGGGAUAUAAUAUCGGGUUCGUUUUUCCAUUGUGAUGGACACCUUAGUGCGCUUUAGCAUUGGUCCCUGGGGGACAUCGACUCCUCCAAUGAUCAUGUUGAUGACGUGCUGAGGUUCCUCUUGUUCGGUCUGUUUGUUGGAGUCCCUAUUCCUGAAUUGAUUUUUGGCUCGAUCACUCAGAAAUUCCCGGAGAUGACCGAUAUUGAAUAACCGGGCCACUUCUUCUCUUAACUGUCGGCAGUCCUCGGUUCUAUGGCCAUGAGUGCCAUCAUACUUACACAUCAAGUUAGGGUCUCUCUGGGUAGGGUCGGACUGCAAUGGUCGAGGCCACUUGGUAUCCUUGAUUAGCCCGAUGGUAGACACGAAGCUCGCAGCAUCGACAUUGAAGUUAUAUUUCGAUAACCUUGGUGCCUCCCUGGCCCCGAGUGGCCUCUCGAAACUGUUUUUGCUCAUGAGUCCUCGGCUAUUAUGGCUUCGAUCGUUCCUCUUUUCGUUUCUCGCAGGGUUACGCCCAGAUCCGUUACCCCUUUGAUCUCCGCUAUACGGUUGAUACCGGUCUCUUUUCGGUCUUGGUUCAUGAUCGACGACUCUCUUAGACCUGUCAUUAGUUCUGAUGGGAUAAACGGACCCGGAUGGGGCCCCGAGCUGAUCGUCCUCAACUCUGAUUUUUGACUGGUACCUGUUAUGGACGUCGGUCCAAGUUACCGCCUAGUACUCUAUUAAAUUCUAUUUCAACUGCUGUGAAGCCAAGGAGCUUCGGGGGUUGAGUCCUUGAGUGAGCGCCUGAACGGCCCAAUCAUCCGACAACAGAGGCAAGUCCAUCCGUUCUAUUUGAAACCUCGAUACAAAUUCCCUGCCCUGAGCAUUUCGUUAUCUCUUUGUUUUACUUUGAAAAGGUCCGAUUUUCUGAUCUCGCCUUAAUGGCCCCGGCAUGCACUUUCACAAAGGCAUCUGCAAGCAUAUCAAAUGAAUUAAUAGAAUUUGGGGGGUAAGUUGUGAUACCAUAUCAUUGCUCUUUUUGACAGAGUUUUUCCGAACUUCUUUAGCAAAAUCGACUCGAUUUCGUCAUCUUUCAAGUCGUUCCCCUUGAUGGCGCACGUGUAGGAGGUUACGUGCUCAUUUGGAUCCGUUGUUCCGUUAUAUUUCGAAAUAUCGGGCAUACGAAACUUCUUCGGGAUUGGUUUUGGUGCCGCGCCCCAAGAGGAAAAGGCUUUUGGACAAAUUUCUUGGAGUCUAGGCCUUUCAAUAUUGGGGGUGCUCCUGGGAUUUGAUCGACCCUGGAGUUGUAGGUCUCCAUUUUUUUGUCGUUAGCCUCAAUUUCCUUCUCCCCUGAUUCCACCCUCUUUGUCAAUUCCUCAAGCAUUUUCAUUAUUUCGGGGUUGGUCCCAGGCUCAGCUUCAUCCGCCUUCCCGGUGUUUUGCUCACUUCUUCGGGUACUCCCCCGAGACCGUUCGGGCUCGACCCUAUCAGGAGUGUGGCCUUGAUUUUGCAGUUGCGCUAUCGCCGCCUGUUGAGUCUGCAACAUUUCGAAGAUCAGCCGCAAGCUUAUCCCAUCGCCUCCGCCUUCGGGUGUUUCUCGAACCGUUGCUCAUGGGCCUCCGCGAACGCUGUUCUCGAGGUCAGUUGGAAGGUGAGCGUCGAUAGAAACUUGUGAGUUAGCGUCGAUUGGAUCGGCAGCUGGGACUCCGUUGGAAUCAACAGGGGGUACCUCAUUGCUAGGCACCAAGUUGUUGUUUUCGCCAUGAUGGCCAGAUUCAGCCUCAACGUUCAAGUGAGCGGACUGAGAGUUUGACAUUUUUAAGCAAACCUGAAAUUGGAAACUUAAAGAACAAGCGAAAAAUAGAGUGUGUUAUGGAAAUUCUUAUUAAAUUACCACUACUAUUUUUAGCCCCACGGUGGGCGCCAAACUGUUUACCCUUAAAAAUGGAUAACAAUUGAAUUUAUACGCGGUUUUAAGGAUAUGUGGACUGAUUCAAUACGAGUGAUUAAUAACGUUAGAUGAGCAAAUUAGUGAUAGAAUAAAAAGCCAAACCAGUAGUAGUAUUGAGUCCGGGCUCGGUUAUGAGCUUAACAAUUAGCCUACCUUCAGUUCGGAGCCAAACGCUUAUGAAGAACUAUGAGCAUAAAUUAGAGCUUUUUAUCACUUUUAGAAGUAGAGAAAACAAAUGUAUAUUGCUCUGGUAUGCGUGUUACCGUGCCUCUCGAAUAAAAAUUAUCUCUUUUAUAUAGUAGGAGAGUUUCAUCCUAAGUACAACUCUAAGAAAGGUAAAAAUCUUCUUUUUCGUUAAUCACCGAUCCGUUGUCGACACGGGCCGAUAUUCACGUCGUGGUAUCCGGUCGGGCGCGGAUAUCACGGCCCUUCGUUAGUCGAGUACAACCAUUUGGUUAUGCCUUCCGAGGUCUCGAAGCUCGAACCGGAUCCGGGGGGCAUGGUCUCGAUGCUCCGAGGACAGGUGUUUUGUUCGGGCUUUGAUACGAAAGGCUACCAGCUUCGAUUUUGAUUCCUUGUAGUUACGUCCUUGCUUCGUUUGCCCCACCGGGAAAUCGAGGUGCUCAUUAGCCUCGGUUUUACCCGUAUUCAACAUGGAUGAGUGUUUAUUGUGCUUGAUGAUUGAGGUCAAAGUCUCCUCAAUUUGUCCAAUUUCUUUACUUCAUUUUAUAUAUUUUCUAUUUUUCCUCUUCUAGAAUUUCGAUCUAUAGCAAUAUUUGUUGAUUCUAACAUUUAGUAAGUUUAUUCCAUGAUAUUCAAACCAAAAAGACAACUCUGUUAGAGACAGUGAGUUUUAUAGUAGAUUCAAAGAAUAACAGUAAUAACUAGAUAAAAAGGACUGUAAGUAAUCGUGAACUUCUAUUGAUGAGUAAUAAAUCGCAAUUCUGUUACAACACCGAAUCUAUCAAGACUAAAUCUCUAAAGAACAUCUGUUGAUGAGUAUAGGCAAUUGGUAUAAAUCCCAGAAUUUAGGGACAUGCUUGCAAAGCUUCAAACUAAGAAUCCCUAAUAUUCUGAUGAAUGUGAGCCUACAUAGAAGAAACUUUUCGUGGAAAAGAAAAUCGUGGUAUCGUUCAAGUACUGCAGCAGCUUCAGUAUCCUUUGCGGAUGAAGCAUUUUAUCCCAUAUCA
rnacentral:lncRNA from 1 species